rnacentral:rRNA from 1 species
UACGGAGGAUCCAAGCGUUAUCCGGAUUUAUUGGGUUUAAAGGGUGCGUAGGCGGCUUAUUAAGUCAGUGGUGAAAGCCUGGAGCUUAACUCCAGAACUGCCAUUGAUACUGAUGAGCUUGAGUACAGUUGAGGUGGGCGGAAUGUGUCAUGUAGCGGUGAAAUGCUUAGAUAUGACACAGAACACCAAUUGCGAAGGCAGCUCGCUAAACUGGUAACUGACGCUGAGGCACGAAAGCGUGGGUAGCAAACAGG